AAAUUGAAGAGUUUGAUCAUGGCUCAGAUUGAACGCUGGCGGCAGGCCUAACACAUGCAAGUCGAACGGUAGCACAGAGAGCUUGCUCUCGGGUGACGAGUGGCGGACGGGUGAGUAAUGUCUGGGAAACUGCCUGAUGGAGGGGGAUAACUACUGGAAACGGUAGCUAAUACCGCAUAACGUCGCAAGAC
rnacentral:rRNA from 1 species